rnacentral:rRNA from 1 species
UACGAAGGGGGCUAGCGUUGCUCGGAAUCACUGGGCGUAAAGGGUGCGUAGGCGGGUUUUAAGUCAGGGGUGAAAUCCUGGAGCUCAACUCCAGAACUGCCUUUGAUACUGAAGAUCUUGAGUUCGGGAGAGGUGAGUGGAACUGCGAGUGUAGAGGUGAAAUUCGUAGAUAUUCGCAAGAACACCAGUGGCGAAGGCGGCUCACUGGCCCGAUACUGACGCUGAGGCACGGAAAGCGUGGGGAGCAAACAGG